rnacentral:sRNA from 1 species
UUGCAGAGCGCACGGGCUUCCAGCUGCGGCCUGUGGCCGGCCUGCUGUCCGCCCGGGACUUCCUGGCCAGCCUGGCCUUCCGCGUGUUCCAGUGCACCCAGUAUAUCCGCCACGCGUCCUCGCCCAUGCACUCCCCUGAGCCGGACUGCUGCCACGAGCUGCUGGGGCACGUGCCCAUGCUGGCUGACCGCACCUUCGCGCAGUUCUCGCAGGUACGCCGCGGCCUCGGAGGGAGCCGGGGUCACCCAGGGGCUGGCUUGGCGCCGGGGGCGGGGGGGUCGAUGUGCGGGUGGGUGAAGUGUGCUGCCUGCUCCCGGGCCCCGCCAAGGAGGCUCAGCGCCCCGAGGGUCGCGCGGCAUAGGGCGGGGCUGGAGCGGAGCCUCCCACGGCCUGUGCUGCCACCUGCCGGCUACCUGGGAACGGCGCCCACGGGCUUAGGAAUAUGGUCAAGGAGGGCUGCCUGGAGGAGGAGGCCCGGUGGAGGUGCGGAUCCUGGGUGGCCAGGGAAGGUCUCUGCCACCCGGGAAGUGUCCCAGAGACCCCUGGAGGGGCUGCUGACACCCCCGGUGCCCCCACCUCGAGCAUGACCCAGGGCUGCCUAUCCCCAUCCUUCAUCCUCCCCACUCCACAGGACAUUGGCCUGGCAUCCCUGGGGGCCUCGGAUGAGGAAAUUGAGAAGCUGUCCACGGUGGGUUGACCCCUCCCUGCAGGGCCCGGGGUGUGGGUUUGGGGGUCUGAAUCCAGGCCUCACCCUCUUGCCGUCCAGGCUGAGGCCUCUCCUUCCACCCAUGAAUUGUGACCCUCACCCUGGCCUGCCUGCAUCCUGGCCUGGCCUCC